UACGAAGGGUGCAAGCGUUACUCGGAAUUACUGGGCGUAAAGCGUGCGUAGGUGGUUCGUUAAGUCUGAUGUGAAAGCCCUGGGCUCAACCUGGGAAUGGCAUUGGAAACUGGCGGGCUUGAGUGCGGCAGAGGGGGGUGGAAUUCCGCGUGUAGCAGUGAAAUGCGUAGAGAUGCGGAGGAACACCGAUGGCGAAGGCAGCCCCCUGGGUCGACACUGACGCUCAGGCACGAAAGCUAGGGGAGCAAACAGG
rnacentral:rRNA from 1 species